UACGGGGGGAGCAAGCGUUGUUCGGAUUUACUGGGCGUAAAGGGCGCGUAGGCGGCCUCUGCAAGUCGACUGUGAAAUCUCCGGGCUUAACCCGGAAAGGUCAGCCGAUACUGCAGGGCUAGAGUGCAGAAGGGGCAACUGGAAUUCUCGGUGUAGCGGUGAAAUGCGUAGAUAUCGUCAGGAACGCCAACGGCGAAAGCAGGCUGCUGGGGAUGCAUUGACGCUGAGGCACGAAAGCCAGGGUAGCGAACGGG
rnacentral:rRNA from 1 species